GGCCCUCGCGGUGGUAGUUGUCGCCUAAACCUGCCUUUCAAGCCCUUCUGGACCGUCCCCAUCUUGCGCAAAUAGAAAUCUAUGUCUAGACUGCACUUGGACUCAGGUUUAGACCAGUCUCCUCGGUUAAGAUGCUGCUGGUCCAUCCCUCAGAAAGGACUGGGUGAUCCUGAACUCUCAGAGCUUGCAUCAGAGCAGGGUCUUGCAGGUGCCUGUAAAAUCCCAGCACUGCGGAUGCUGAGUCGAGAGGGAAGCCAGGAGUUGGAGACUAGGCUAGGCUGCCUUGUUAAGAUUGUUUCAAACAAACAAAAGCAAAAUAAAAAUAGGAGAAAACUAAGUAUCCUUUUCAAGUUCCAUCUACAAGACAAUGACCUCCCUUCUCCCCACACGUAAUAAAACUAAUGGCUGAGGAACAAAAUCAAGGUGGGGGGGCUGGUAUCUGCCCUUCACAGAUCCACCACAAAACUGCAAGGUUCCAUGUGAGGGCCUGGCCCCUAUAGGGAGAAAAUAGGGACCCUAAGUCAGAUGUAUUUCUCUAGGAGUCACUGAGCUGGUACUGUGUGUGUGUGUGUGUGUGUGUGUGUGUGUGUGUGUGUAUUGUAGUGUUGGGAUGGAACUCAGGCGCUCACUACAUUUUACUGGAGAGUUGCAGCCCCCCAGUCCUGUAAUUCUGCCUUCCCACAGCCUCGGCUCUCUGCCUCACCCAGAGCAGAGCCUGAUUCCUUACUCCUGCCUGGAUUAAGCAAUCAGAGGUGUUCCGAAGAUUCAGGGCGCAGUCGUGUUUUCUUAUGAUAUAACUGUUUCCCCACCUAGUAAUCUUACUGACUCUGAUGUGUGAGAAUUUGCCCCUUUUUUUCCUCUAAGUGUACAGAUGCUGUCAAUGACUGCGAAUUCUAUAAAUAGAACUCUCCUCUGCCAAGCAUGGAAGAUGUAAGAAUAUAACCGUGUUCAUAGGGUGCUUCUAGUCCCAGUUUUACUGAAAAUUCAGAGGCCACCUGGGUGGAGGUAUCACAUCACUGGAGAAUAGAAGGAGUAGGGUCUGAACCCAAGCAGUGAGAAAGAAUGGCAUCGCCAGGAGCUGAUGGAUAAGUGGGAAGAUGGAAAGACCACGCCUUUUCAGCUGGAAGAUAAAUACUUGCCAAACAUCUAGGCCACAAGGGCUGAAGAAGUUAAUGUACCAGGGAGGGAGAUGGGUUAUAAAAUUGGAUACAAAUGUAAAAAAGAAAAAUUGUCAGAAGAGAAGUUGGGCUUUUCCUCUCUAAAAGUGUGUACUUUGCUGUGUGAGCAAUGCUGCUGCUUCAGGAACCAAGACACACGAGACAAGAUGCCUGCUAAUGAAUUGUGUUCUGAUGCCUGCUAAUGAAUUGUGUUCUGAUGCCAGCUAGUGGAUUGUGUACUACGCUAACAGAAGCUGACAGGCAUAAACAAGUGAGUAAAUAGGAGACGAAGAACGUGAUCACAAGCGGGCACACACCUUUAGCCCCAGAAUUCAGGAGGCAAAGACAGGCAGAUCUCCGAGUUCAAGGUCAGUCUUGUCUACAGGCGGCCGUGUAUCUUGUGUUGUCUGUAUCUGUGCUGCUUCACCCUGAAAUCUGGAACUGGAACCCUACAGGGCAAGUCUACAGACUUUACGCAGACUUCCCAGCUUUGUAUGCGUAUGAGUUUACUGGAAGAGUCUUCUCGUAUUGAACAGUUUGUGCAAUGGGCACGGCAUAAUUCCUAGGUACUUUUGAAUAGACUUGGCGACAGACUUCAAACUCCUGUUAAGCUCAGCUGCCACCUGGACAAAUCUGCCCGGAAACCGUAUAGGAGCCACACACUCCACAUGGCCAUGCCAGAGGCCACCCAGCAAACUCCCUUUUCACAGUUGUGGACAGCUGAGAACACCUCAGCCACAAGCAAGCAGUUUAUCUUGGAUGUAUGUUUUUUUAGAGUAUUAAAUUAAGUGGGGGUGGGGAGAGAGAUGGCUCAGUGGUUAGGAGCACCUCCUGUUCUUGCAAAGAGAACCUGGGUUCAGUUCCCACGUGGUCCCUCAUAACGAUCUGUAACUCCAGUUCCAGGGGAUUCCAUGCCUCUUCUGACCUCCGAGGGCUUCUCCAUGCACGUGGUGCACAGACAUACACUCAGGUGCACACACUCACACACGUGACACUAAAUAACAUCUAAACAGUAUUAAGUAUUCAAAGUCUAAGAUGCCUCAGCUCCUUAGGAAAAGGUUGCACUUGGGCCAGUGGCUUUGAGGGAGAGAGCUAAGCAGCUGGGGAUCAGGUGGGCACAUUUCCUUUCCACUGUGUUCUUUUGGUAACUUUUAAGCUUUAUACACAUGUGUACUUAAAGAAUAAUAAUUAAAAGCAAUGAUGAGUUGAAA